GACGAACGCUGGCGGCGUGCUUAACACAUGCAAGUCGAACGGAAAGGCCCUGCUUUUGUGGGGUGCUCGAGUGGCGAACGGGUGAGUAACACGUGAGUAACCUGCCCUUGACUUUGGGAUAACUUCAGGAAACUGGGGCUAAUACCGGAUAGGAGCUCCUGCUGCAUGGUGGGGGUUGGAAAGUUUCGGCGGUUGGGGAUGGACUCGCGGCUUAUCAGCUUGUUGGUGGGGUAGUGGCUUACCAAGGCUUUGACGGGUAGCCGGCCUGAGAGGGUGACCGGCCACAUUGGGACUGAGGUACGGCCCAGACUGCGAAGGGAGGCAGCAGUGGGGAAGAUUGCACAAUGGGCGGAAGCCUGAUGCAGCAACGCCGCGUGCGGGAUGACGGCCUUCGGGUUGUAAACCGCUUUCGCCUGUGACGAAGCGUGAGUGACGGUAAUGGGUAAAGAAGCACCGGCUAACUACGUG
rnacentral:rRNA from 1 species